rnacentral:lncRNA from 1 species
GAAAGAGUUGUGAGCUGUCCAUGCUCUUCUGAAACUUGGCUGAGAUGGUCUGGAAUGGAAUCCCAAGGCUCCUAAAACAAGAUUUUGCCUAUAGAUGGGUGCAGAAGAAUUCCUGCUGUUAUGGAAGGAUAUGAGUAGUGAAAAAAGUGUAUAAAAUAGAAGAGAAAUUUGUUUAAAAGCAAGUGUCAUCACUGAGAAAAUGUGCUGCACAUCUAAUUGGAAGGAGAAUUAAGAGAGAAAACAUCACAGGAAAUGAAGGCAUGAAGUUAAGUGAACACACGGUAGUUUCAUGAGCACUGGGGUGUGGGGCCUAGGUGAAAGGAAGAGGUUGGAGAGGGAAGAUAUCAAGUUUGUCAUGGAUAUGCUGACAAAGGGUUGUGUGAUACGCCUACACUCAAGAUACCAUUUAACUGAGCUUGGGGGAUUACCAAUAUCAGCCAUACCACUAAGAAUGAGAUAAUUGCAACGAACUGCUGGGUGAUGGGAAACAACCAAUUGUCCACAAUGUCAUGCAGUCUGCAUAUUAUGAUGCAGUACAAUUCAUAAUCUCCAUGUAACAUUAUAAGGAUUUGAAGGCCAGGCGUGGUGGCUCACGCCUGUAAUCCCAGCACUUUGGGAGGCUGAGGCGGGCAGAUCACCAUUUCAGGAGAUCGAGACCAUCCUGGCUAACACGGUGAAACCCCGUCUCUAUUAAAAAUACAAAAAAUUAGCCGGGCAUGGUGGCGGGCGCCUGUAGUCCCAGCUACUCGGGAGGCUGAGGCAGGAGAAUGGCUUGAACCCGGGAGGCGGAGCUUACAGUGAGCCAAGAUCGCGCCACUGCACUCCAGCCUGGGCGACAGAGUGAGACUCCAUCUCAAAAAAAAAAAAAAAAAAAAAAAAAAAAAAAAAAGAAAAGAAAGAAAAAAAGGAUUUGAAGCAGAAUUUCUCACUUGAUAGGCAACUGGGUUCCAGAAAGAGCAGAAUUGGAAGAGUGAAAUAUACAAAGAUCUCAAGUCCACUGAGCCUUUUUAUUGAGGUGUAUUCUAUUAUAUUUAAUUAUUAUUUGUCUUUUUUUGCCUCCAUUUUUUUAAACAGGGGUUGGGGUAGGAAAGGCAGUCUCAAUGUAAUGGUGAAUAUAUAAGUGAAAGAGGAAAAACAAAGUUUUAUGUUUUUAAUGAAAUAAAGAAUUUAGACAUUCAUAAUUUUGAUGGUACUCCACAUUAGUGAUUAC